CGGUGCUGUGCAAAUCCAGGGCAACGGGGGGACGGGGGCAAGUGCUGCUUGGUUUGGUCGCGAUGGCACCGGUGGCGGCAGCGGUGUCACCAUCACUGGUGUCACCAUCACUGGUGUCACCAUCGGUACUGGUGUCGGCAUCACCAGUGUCACAAUUGUCACUGGUGUCGGCAUCACUGGUGUCACCAUCGGUACUGGUGUCGGCAUCACCGGUAUCACAAUUGUCACUGGUGUCACUAUCACUGGUGUCACCAUCGGUACUGGUGUCGGCAUCACUGACGAUGGUGACCGGUGUCACCAUCACUGGUGUCGGCAUCACUGGUGUCACAAUUGUCACUGGUGUCAGCAUCACUGGUGUCACCACUGGUACUGGUAUCGGCAUCACUGAUGUCACAAUUGUCACUGGUGUCGGCAUGACCGGUGUCACAACUGGUACUGGUGUCACCAUCACUGGUGUCAGCAUCACCGGUGUCACAACCGGUACUGGUGUCACCACUGGUACUGGUGUCGGCAUCACUGGUGUCACCAUUGGUACUGGUGUCAGCAUCACCAGUGUCACAAUUGACACUGGUGUCAGUAUCACUGGUGUCACCAUCGGUCCUGGUGUCAGCAGCACCAGUGUCACAAUUGACACUGGUGUCGGUAUCACUGGAGUCACCAUCAGUACUGGUGUUGGCAUGACCGGUGUCACAAUUGUCACUGGUGUCGGUAUCACUGGUGUCACCAUCGGUACUGGUGUCAGCAUCAGCGGUGUCACAAUUGUCACUGGUGUCAGCAUAACUGGUGUCACCCCUGGUACUGGUGUCGGCAUCACUGGUGUCACCAUUGGUACUGGUGUCAGCAGCACCAGUGUCACACCAACACCAGUGUCAGCGUCUCCGGUGUCACACCGGUCCCGGUUCCAGUGUCACCAUCCUCCGAGGUGUCAGCCUCACCAGUGUCACACCAACCCCGGUGUCAGCGUCUCCCAUGUCACACCGGUCCUGGCUCCAGUGUCACCAAUGUCUCCGGUGUCAGCCUCACUGGUGUCACCAUUGUCUGAGGUGUCAGCGUCACCAGUGUCACACCGGUGCCAGUGUCAGCCUCACCAGUGUCACCAUCCUCUGAGGUGUCAGCAUCACCAGUGACACACCAACCCUGGUGUGUCUCUGGUGUCACACCGGUCCUGGUUCCAGUGUCACCAAUGUCCCCGGUGUCAGCCUCACCGGUGUCACCGUCCUCCGAGGUGUCAGCCUCACCGGUGUCACACCAACCCCGGUGUCAGCGUCUCCGGUGUCACACCAGUCCCAGUUCCGGUGUCACCAUCCUCCGAGGUGUCAGCAUCACCAGUGUCACACCAACACCAGUGUCAGUGUCUCCUGUGUGACACCGGUCCUGGUUCCAGUGUCACCAAUGUCCCCGGUGUCAGCAUCACCAGUGUCACCAUCGUCCGAGGUGUCAGCCUCACCAGUGUCACA
rnacentral:lncRNA from 1 species